rnacentral:rRNA from 1 species
UUGGAGGGCAAGUCUGGUGCCAGCAGCCGCGGUAAUUCCAGCUCCAAUAGCGUAUAUUAAAGUUGUUGCAGUUAAAAAGCUCGUAGUUGAAUUUCGGGAUUAGUACGUUGGUCGUGCCUUAGGUACGUACUGGUGUUACUGGUUUCUACCUUCUGACGAACCAUCAUGUCAUUAAUUUGGUGUGGUGGGGAAUCAGGACUGUUAUUUUGAAAAAAUUAGAGUGUUUAAAGCAGGCUCGCGCUUGAAUACAUUAGCAUGGAAUAAUGAAAUAGGACGUUGAUCCUAUUUUGUUGGUUUCUAGAAUUGACGUAAUGAUUAAUAGGGAUAGUUGGGGGCAUUAGUAUUCAAUUGUCAGAGGUGAAAUUCUUGGAUUUAUUGAAGACUAACUACUGCGAAAGCAUUCGCCAAGGAUGUUUCCAUUAAUCAAGAACGAAAGUUAGGGGAUCGAAGACGAUCAGAUACCGUCGUAGUCUUAACCAUAAACUAUGCCGACUAGGGAUCGGAUGAUAUUAAUUUUUUAAUGACUCAUUCGGCGCCUUACGGGAAAC